rnacentral:sRNA from 1 species
GGUUCAAAAGAAGAAAGGAUGGGAAGAUGGCCGAGCAAUCCUUGGCUUGUUCUCUCUCGCGCGGUCAGCCGAGCUACGCGAGGGGUCACUUGAAGUAUAACUUGUCAUGCUAUUGCCGUUGGCCCUGCUAAUACGAUCGGUCAUUGCAUACCGUGCAUCGCAUUUGACUUCUGCUAUACGGGGACAGGUCGUUAUGAUUGGACAAAGUAGAGGGAGAGGGACGGCUUAUCUUCAAGUUAAGGCAAGCAAUCACGGAUAACGAGUAUGUAUGUAUAAAUUUAACGUCUCAGAGGAACGCGGGCAGCGUCUGUAUUCCAGAAGCCUCCCAGAGGGCAUGGAGACGUGCUAAGCUUGAGAGAUUUCUAUGUACAUAAAACUUAGAGACAGGAUCCAGAUGGCAACUCUUGAAAGAACUCAGCUCGUUGAGCUGUGCGUCCACUUCUGACCC